AUUGAACGCUGGCGGCAUGCCUUACACAUGCAAGUCGAACGGCAGCGGACCUUCGGGUGCCGGCGAGUGGCGAACGGGUGAGUAAUAUAUCGGAACGUACCUUUCAGUGGGGGAUAACGUAGCGAAAGUUACGCUAAUACCGCAUAUUCUGUGAGCAGGAAAGCAGGGAUCGCAAGACCUUGCGCUGAUUGAGCGGCCGAUAUCAGAUUAGCUAGUUGGUGAGGUAAAGGCUCACCAAGGCGACGAUCUGUAGCGGGUCUGAGAGGAUGAUCCGCCACACUGGAACUGAGACACGGUCCAGACUCCUACGGGAGGCAGCAGUGGGGAAUUUUGGACAAUGGGCGCAAGCCUGAUCCAGCCAUGCCGCGUGAGUGAAGAAGGCCUCGGUUGUAAG
rnacentral:rRNA from 1 species